AACGAGGCCGACCUGCGGCUGAGUUACCUGCGGAAGGAUCAUUACCGAGUUUACAACUCCCAAACCCCUGUGAACAUACCUAUACGUUGCCUCGGCGGAUCAGCCCGCGCCCUGUAAAAAGGGACGGCCCGCCCGAGGACCCUAAACUCUGUUUUUAGUGGAACUUCUGAGUAAAACAAACAAAUAAAUCAAAACUUUUAGCAAUGGAUCU
rnacentral:misc_RNA from 1 species